rnacentral:rRNA from 1 species
GACGAACGCUGGCGGCGUGCUUAACACAUGCAAGUCGAACGGAAAGGCCCUGCUUUUGUGGGGUGCUCGAGUGGCGAACGGGUGAGUAACACGUGAGUAACUCGCCCUUGACUUUGGGAUAACUUCAGGAAACUGGGGCUAAUACCGGAUAGGAGCUCCUGCUGCAUGGUGGGGGUUGGAAAGUUUCGGCGGUUGGGGAUGGACUCGCGGCUUAUCAGCUUGUUGGUGGGGUAGUGGCUUACCAAGGCUUUGACGGGUAGCCGGCCUGAGAGGGUGACCGGCCACAUUGGGACUGAGAUACGGCCCAGACUCCUACGGGAGGCAGCAGUGGGGAAUAUUGCACAAUGGGCGGAAGCCUGAUGCAGCAACGCCGCGUGCGGGAUGACGGCCUUCGGGUUGUAAACCGCUUUCGCCUGUGACGAAGCGUGAGUGACGGUAAUGGGUAAAGAAGCACCGGCUAACUACGUG